UACGUAGGCAGCGAGCGUUGUUCGGAGUUACUGGGCGUAAAGGGUGUGUAGGCGGUCUUCUAAGUGUGGUGUGAAAUCUCCCGGCUCAACUGGGAGGGUGCGCUACGGACUGGGAGGCUAGAGUGCGGGAUGGGAGAGUGGAAUUCCUGGUGUAGCGGUGAAAUGCGUAGAUAUCAGGAGGAACACCUGUGGUGUAGACGGCUCUCUGGACCGUAACUGACGCUGAGACACGAAAGCGUGGGUAGCAAACAGG
rnacentral:rRNA from 1 species